rnacentral:lncRNA from 1 species
GCCAAUCCUAGGACAUCACUACGACAUGUAAGAUGAGUAUUACAGUUCCUAGUCACUACAAGGACAAAUAGUGCCAAAAUUUUGAGCAAUGCAGCACCUUCGUAGCUUCGAAUACUGAAACUAUUUCUUUUAGAUUCAAAUUUUAAUAUGAUUAUUGAAUAUAGAUGUCUAUUGUUCUCAAAUAAAUUGAUUCAAACUACAUGUUACCAAAGUAAUUUCGU